AUGUUUCCCCACUGUUCCAAGGAUGGUUAAAGAUUAACAAAAGCCAUCCAGAGUUCUCCUCAGACAGACUGCAGGUCUCUGGGAUGCAAGUUCUCCAACUGGUGUAAAAAUUUGGAUAGCUAGCUGAUGAUACUGAGCUACUUAAUGGACUGGAGCAUCCUGUUUUGACAGGUGGUCGUAAGGAACCGGGUAGAAGAAAGCAGUUCCAACAGCGAGCAGCCUCACUGUGACAGUCUCAGCAGUCCAUUCCCAGAUUUGGUUGCUCCUGGAACACCCAGCUGCCUUCCAGAUGACAGUAGCAUUCAUGGAAGUAUGUCAGCCUGAGUUAACACUGGUGAAACAGUGUCAGCAGGACAGUCCACCUGGCAGUGGAAACAAUUAGUACACUAGACUGCAGCUGAAUUAGUUCAGGAAAAGAACAACGAAGACCAAACCUGACAAAUUCUGGAUGCCUAAAAUGAAGAACUGCCUGCAAAAUCUCUCUCUCUCAGUAAAGAUUUAAACUCUUCCCUCAGUUAUGUUAUCCAAAAUGUUUGCUGCCUGUUGAAUAAUUCUCAUUAACAGGCACUUGGCUGAGAGCAGAUCUAUUCCUCCAGCAGAAAGAAUAUACCAGUUACUGUUUGUGUUCUCUGAAGCACACUGAGUCCUCUUAUUCUUAAGGAUAUUUCUGCAGAAGCAAUUUUCCUUGAGUUUUCUUGCUGUGAAAGAAAGCAGUAUCACAUAUAUUGGGCAGCAUAAACAAUACUGUUUAGACAUACUGUUUAGAAAAUAUUGUGAGAGCCUCAGUGACAUAUCUAUUUCUAGCUUUGUCCUCAGAUCACAAUCUCAUCAGCAGCAUCUUAGUGACAUCUCCAUUUGGUCAUCUUCUCAAAAGUAAGCAACAAUGGCAAGCAUAACAUCAGCAAUAAAACCUUGCUUUUGGGAGGGCUACAACUUGCUUCACUGAUUUAAAGCUCAGCAAUUCCCUCAGGGAUAGAAUACUAUUUUUUUGCAAAAGAAAAGUAAGUAUUUGGUUUACUUAAAAAUCACUGCUUAGCUAGAACAGCCUUUAAAAAAGCUACUGGCAGCACUAAAUAUUUCAAUUGAGUGUGCCUUACUGAAUAAACUCAUUAACUUUACCCACUGCCCAGAAAUAGUUUUGCCACAAAUAGCCAAUCACCUUUAGCUUUCAUUUUGAAAUGGUAAGUGGAGAAGAAACACAAAGACUGGACAGAUUUGAAAAGGUAUCUGUGAGUUACUCAGGCUUUAGAAGAAGUGUGCUUAUCGUGUUUUAUACCAAAGAAAAAUGCUGGCAAAACUACAAAAGCAACAAUUAUUUCUGCACAAAUUGUUUGUUUUUAGCUGGGGCUGAAAAAUAUUCCAUCAGAAUCUGGAGUCCUCUCAGAGGGCCACAAAAGCUUUUCCAUGAGGUGGAGAGGACAAGUUUAGUUCUGCUUGAGCAGAGCAGGAAGGGCCACUCGCAUUCCCAACCCUUCAGCUCUCUCCACCUUUCCUUGGCCCUGGAGUGCCAUGAAAGCCAGGCAGAACCAGACAGACGUCCAAGAGAGGGUGAAAAACCCUUAGAGCUACAGUAAACUGUGUGACCAGGAUUGCAGAGUCAGUAAGGCAGUGAUAGUUGGAGUAGAAAAAGGACUGUGUAACUAAUUGCUUGUCUGAGGACAACACAGAAUUCAUUUGAAACUUGAGGAAAAAAAUAGCAGUUCCACCUCACCAAGCAGGCAGCAGAGACUCCUACAGUGAACCAGUAGCAGAGCAGCUCUAUGCUGCAUAUGGGGGAUGUGGAUAUGUUGGGUUGUGUUAACAAAGCCUUAAACCCAAGAGACAGACCAAACCACAAAGUAUGUAUUUGUAGUUGUAUUGUUUUUUAAAACUCCUUUUUCAUAAAUCUCUGAGAUAAACUCUUCUGAAGUUUGCUUUUUGAGCAAAUUGACUACCGCUGGUAUUGGGCUUGGAGUCCUAUGGAGCUUCAAGUCUGCUGAGUCAUGGAUACACAGAGAAAAUGAGGAAACGCCGCAGGAACCAAAGAAAGAACGUGGACAGAGAUGUUAUCAGAGAGCUGAAGUCUUCCUUCAGCCAACCCAGAUGAUCACAGCAGCCUUCCCCACCUCUCAGAUAAAUUCACCAUUUGCUAGAGCUGAAGUAGUUCCCUCAGAAGACAUAAAUGAACGUUUGUGGCAAAGGCCAGACUGGCUUUCAUUGACAACAAAGCUCCUGCUGCCUUAAAAGGGGUGAGAAUUUCACCUGUGUAGCCUACAGCAUGCAUGCCCUGUUGAAACGUUGAACCCAUCAGCCAACAAAGCGCAACCCAAAAUAGCUCAUGCAGUUGGUUCAAAGACAUAAUCGACUCCCAUAAAAACAUUAUUCCUCAAACGUGACAUCACUCCACCUCACUCACACUGCUUGAAGUCUUUUCCUUCCAACAUGGCAGACGUGUUGUAUACCAGCAGCCCAUUGUGGGGCUGAGAUCCACUUCACGACUCAAGAAGCCCACCUGCACUCAAACCUGCUGGUGCCUACUGUACACCCCGUACUUCAGGAAGCAAUAUAUUCUUUGGGGGCUGUUGACCUUGAUGACUUCCUGUGCAUUUUGGGAGAAGGGCCCAAAAGAUGUGUCCUUGCAACACACCCUUAAGUUUCAUGCACUCGUGGUUCUCAUCACAAGGACAACAGCAAAACAAAUGACUCAUGUCAUUUGUAGAAACUCCUUGUUUUAAAAUAUGGUCUCAUCUAGGGGACAAGUUUUCCACUUCUGAAUCCUUUCCAUAAUUUAUUCCAUUCAAGAUUAACUUCUGAAGAUAAUGACUCACCAUCUAAUUUAUUGACAUUCAUUCUGAAUACAUUGGCAGCAAUUCACACACACAAAUCACUCAACAGCUAGCCAACUGCGUGGGGCUUUUUUAAAAAGAUAUUUGACCACUAUUUCCAGAAAAACUUCAUAAUAAUCUCUUAAUUGCUCCAUUAUUAGACUAUAUUGAAGCUCACAGAAGCAGUGAGAGACAGAGCCAUUUUUAGAAGUUCCCACAUGCAGAGCUGCAUCUGUUUACUGAGAAUCACAGAAUGGUAGGGGUUGGAAGGGGCCUCUGGAGACCAUCAAGUCCAGUGCCUCGCUAAAGCAAGUUCCCUACAGUAGAUUGCACAGGAAAGUGUCCUGGCAGAUCUUAAAUAUCCUCAGAGAAGUCAUGACCUCUCUAUUUUUUACAUGACAGGUCAGUAGCUUUAACUUGUUAGGUUGUUCGCAUUACUUUUGUUUCCGAAACAACAUUUAUACGUGAAAACAUGUAUGAGCAAUCCUCUCCUCCAAUCUUGAAUAUUUUGAUAUUAACAGUAUUGGAGAAAACAACAAAACAGGAAGACAUUAAUCACAACUGAGCCAUUCUGAAUGCUUAAGGCCAUCAGAAAACUGUUACUUCAGGAUGCACCCUUAGGUGCAUUCACAUCAGGUAGUCAGCCUGCAUUAUACGUGUUACUGCAAAGAAAGCAUAUCAGCAUAGUAGCAGCUGCAGUCUCCUCGUGUUACUUUCCUUUUCUGUAGUACCUUGCAGCUCAUCAGCUAAAGCCAGCUAGAACCAUGACAGCCAUUUUUCUUAUUUUAGCAGUGACAAAACUGCAUAGAGAAAUCACUACUUCCAUUCACAGAGGGAAAUAUCCAGGUGUGCCAAUAACUGUUGAAGCAGAAAUAAUUGAGCACACCUGCUUGCAUCUGAUGCACUUACUUCCAGAAACAGGUCUUAAUUAAUCAAUUACUCAUUCCACGUGGAUGAGCUUCAAUAAAUGAGUUCUCCUGCAAGUACCACAGUUGCACCAUUCUCUUAAGCAAACACAGCAUGUAAGGUAUUAGGAAGUGCUGAAGCACACAGCCAAAAACUUGUUGAGAGACAGUGUAACAAAGGGGUUGAGGCAUUUAGGCUUUGGGUUUUGCUCCCUUAGAAAGGGCCUGGAAGGGUCUAUGGUACACCACCACUGUCCUGCAGCAUGUCAGCUAUUGCAGAGGAUUGGCCUUAGGCUACAGGCAACUGCCCACCCAGCUGCUUUCUCACUGCCCCACGGGUCAAAAUUAAGACAGGGAGAUGCUUAGCAGUCACCAUCUGGGCAAAACAGACUUGGCUUAGGGAAAAUUAAUUUACUGCCACUUAAGAUAGAUGUGGGCAGUGGUUGAAUUUCUCUAGUUCCAUGAGAAAAAUUUUUACAUUACAUCCUUCUACAGGUUGAAUGGUUUUAAUCUCAUUUCUUUAAUUCUCUCAAACAAAUCACAUUAUAAACCACUUCUUGAUGUGAUCAGCCCCUGAGGACAGCUGAAAACCUUCUAUGUGCCACAAGUACCUCCUUUUCCAGUCAGACAAGAUGGCUUCUUUCCAUCUCCAACCCUCAUUUUCAGAUCCUGCCUUGUGCACUUCCUCUGGUUUCAUUUUGUCUGUUUUGUGUUUCUAAAUUAAGUGAAAUACUUUUUUCUUUGCAAAGAACAUUUUUUUAAUGUUGCACACCAGUGAUUCUAUAUUAAUAUCAUGCCACACUUCAGCCUCUAUUGGGCUUGUACAGCUUUUUCAAGAGAAUAUUUUUUAUUUUUAAACCAGGUCUUGAUAGAGAUAGUACAGCUUCUUUAGGACAAGGAUAACAGCAUAUAGAAGCAAUUCUCAUUUGCAUCUCAUAGUCCUUUAUUCUUAAAAAAGGCACAUUAUAUAAAGAUCACAAGGAGUGUGCACUUUGAAUUUUUCCCCCAGUACAGACUGUGCACGGAGUACCUGGGCACAGCACAUAUUCAUGAGUGAAUUUAAUAAAUCCUGUUUUACAUUUCAAAGGUUCAAGUUCAGGCUCUGCCUGUUUGCAUGUCUGGAAUGAUAUGUUAAACUGCCCUCGGGGCCAUGUUCAAGAAACAUUUAUCACACUUCACAGAGAAUUUCCAAUAAAACACAUGUUUUAUCAAUCACCAGAAGGUCAUUUGGGUCUUAGCUCUCUCUCAUCUUCUCAGAACGGAGAGUCUUAGCUGAAUGUUUUCUGGCAGUGGUGAUGGGCAGUGCAUUUUUUAAUUAAAAAAAAUUAUUAAAAAAAAAAAAACAA